GAUGAACGCUGGCGGCGUGCCUAACACAUGCAAGUCGAGCGAUUUACUUCGGUAAAGAGCGGCGGACGGGUGAGUAACGCGUGGGUAACCUGCCCUGUACACACGGAUAACAUACCGAAAGGUAUGCUAAUACGAGAUAAUAUACUUUUAUCGCAUGGUAGAAGUAUCAAAGCUUUUGCGGUACAGGAUGGACCCGCGUCUGAUUAGCUAGUUGGUAAGGUAACGGCUUACCAAGGCGACGAUCAGUAGCCGACCUGAGAGGGUGAUCGGCCACAUUGGGACUGAGACACGGUCCAAACUCCUACGGGAGGCAGCAGUGGGGAAUAUUGCACAAUGGGCGAAAGCCUGAUGCAGCAACGCCGCGUGAGCGAUGAAGGCCUUCGGGUCGUAAAGCUCUGUCCUCAAGGAAGAUAAUGACGGUACUUGAGGAGGAAGCCCCGGCUAACUACGUG
rnacentral:rRNA from 1 species